CCCGACUGCUAUUUGGGUGAGGAUAAGCCAUGCGAGUUGAAUGGGAUACCUAAAUUUCCCAUGGCAAACUGCUCAGUAACACAUGAUCAACUUACCCUAUAGAGAAAAAUAACCUCGGGAAACUGAGGAUAAUAUUUCAUAGUUGAAUAGGCUUGGAAAAGUUUUUCAAUAAAAGGGAUAAAAAAAAUGGUUUUUAUCUGCUAUAGGAUAGGAUCGUGGACGAUUAUGGUUGUUGGUGAGGUAACGGCUCACCAAGCCGAUAAUCGAUAGGGGCCGUGAGAGCGGGAGCCCCGAGAUGGGUACUGAGACAACGACCCAGGCCUUACGAGGCGCAGCAGGUGCGGAACCUCCGCAAUACACGAAAGUGUGACGGGGUUACCAAAGUGUUCAAUUCUGAACUGUGGUAGGUGAGUAAUGUUCCCUACUAGAAAGGAGGGGGCAAGGCUGGUGCCAGCCGCCGCGGUAAAACCAGCUCUUCAAGUGGUCGGGAUAAUAUUGGGCUUAAAGUGUCCGUAGCCGGUUUAGUAAGUUCCUGGUAAAAUCGGGUAGCUUAACUAUCUGUAUGCUAGGAAUACUGCUAUACUAGAGGGCGGGAGAGGUCUGAGGUACUACAGGGGUAGGGGUGAAAUCUUAUAAUCCUUGUAGGACCACCAGUGGCGAAGGCGUCAGACUGGAACGCGCCUGACGGUGAGGGACGAAAGCCAGGGGAGCGAACCGGAUUAGAUACCCGGGUAGUCCUGGCCGUAAACGAUGCAUACUAGGUGAUGGUACGGCCAUGAGCCAUAUCAGUGCCGUAGGGAAACCGUUAAGUGUGCCGCCUGGGAAGUACGGUCGCAAGGCUAAAACUUAAAGGAAUUGACGGGGGCGCACCACCAGGAGUGAAGCCUGCGGUUUA
rnacentral:rRNA from 1 species